rnacentral:rRNA from 1 species
AUGAUGAUCAUCACACUUUUAUUUACUUACAACUCAAUAUUACAACUCGAUACUAGAACAAACACUACAAAAAAAGACACAUCCGUGACAUUUUGGGCCGAACAAAUUUUUUUCUGUCAUACAUAUGACACUUCUAUGACGAUAAUUGUGACAAAACCCGGUAUCAUCAUAGAUGUGGUGGGCUCCUACUUCUAUGACGAAAAAUCAUGA